rnacentral:rRNA from 1 species
AACGAACGCUGGCGGCGGGGCUUAGGCAUGCAAGUCGCGCGAGAAAGCCGCAAGGCGAGUACAGCGGCGUAAGGGUGAGUAAUAGGUAGUCAACGUACCUUGCAGACGCGGAUAAUUCUCCGAAAGGGGUUGUAAUACGCGAUGAGACCACGGGUUCUUCGGGACUUGGGGUCAAAGGUGGGGGAUCCUUCGGGACCUCGCGCUGUGGGAGCGGACGACCUCCGAUUAGCUAGUUGGCGGGGUAACGGCCCACCAAGGCGAUGAUCGGUAGCCGGCCUGAGAGGGUGUUCGGCCACACUGGGACUGAGACACUGCCCAGACUCCUACGGGAGGCUGCAGUCGCGAAUCAUUCACAAUGGGCGCAAGCCUGAUGAUGCCACGCCGCGUGCGGGAUGAAGGCCCUUUGGGUGUAAACUCCUGUCAUUUGGGAACAAGUGCACAUGUUAACUGCUGUGCAUUGAUAGUACCAGAAGAGGAAGGGACGGCUAACUCUGUGCCAG